rnacentral:tRNA from 1 species
GUCAGGAUGAGCGGUCUAUGGUGCCAGACUCAAGGCUCUAUACUUCCCCUGUCCUGAGUGUUCUGGUCUCCGUAUGGAGAUGUGGGUUCAAAUCCCACUCCUGACA